rnacentral:rRNA from 1 species
AUGCUCAAAAUUGAUCUUGUAAAGGCUUUUGAUAUGAUAGAGUGGAGUUUUAUUAGAAGAGCUCUGCUACGUAAAGGUUUGCAUGGUCAUUUUGUCAAUCUAAUUUAUGAAUGUAUAUCUUUUGCUACUUUUUUAGUUAACAUAAAUGGGAAGCCUUUUGGUAGAUUUAAGGGAUCAAGAGGCAUCCGACAAGGAUGUCCACUGUCGCCAUAUCUGCUUAUACUUGUUGUCAAUGAGUUGUCACUUCCUAUGCAGGAAGCCUUAAAUACUAAUCAUCUCAGCGGCAUUCAACUGGGACCCAACUAUCCUUCUAUUCACUCUUUAAUGUUUGCAGAUGAUUUGAUUGUCUAUGGCAGGGCAUAUAAUGAAGAUGCAGAUACUAUUGGUCACAUCAUCAACCUAUUCUGCGAUGCCUCAGGUCGAACUCCCAACUGUAACAAAUCAACAAUUUUAUUUAGUAAGAAUACAGACAUAUUUCUUAUAAAUUCUACAAAAAAAUACAUUUCCAUCUUGGGAUAUGGAUCUUAA